rnacentral:rRNA from 1 species
UACGUAGGGUGCAAGCGUUGUCCGGAAUUAUUGGGCGUAAAGAGCUUGUAGGCGGUUUGUCGCGUCUGCUGUGAAAUUUCGGGGCUCAACCCCGAACUUGCAGUGGGUACGGGCAGACUAGGGUGUGGUAGGGGAGACUGGAAUUCCUGGUGUAGCGGUGAAAUGCGCAGAUAUCAGGAGGAACACCGGUGGCGAAGGCGGGUCUCUGGGCAGUAACUGACGCUGAGGAGCGAAAGCGUGGGGAGCGAACAGG